GCGAAAGUUACCUCCCGUUGGCCGCCAUAUUGGAGGUCGACUCAGUGAUUUUCCCUCUUUGUCUUACCAAGUUUAAGAAAAUGUAGCAGAAAUAUUUGGUGGAAAAUCUUUAUCAAAUAUUUUUUUUAAAUAAAGGAGGCUUCCAAAAAUUUAUAUACUUCAGAAAAAUAAUGAUUUCUAAUUCAAAAUAGCAAAGAUGAAAAUUUUUAAUUGGUUGAACAAUGAAGGAAUAUGAGCAUUUGGACCUCCAGUAUGGCAGCCAACGGGAAGUAACUCUUGGUCAAUCGAAAACUAUCUAUACUUACUUAAAAUUUCAAA